rnacentral:rRNA from 1 species
UACGGGGGGGGUAAGCGUUGUUCGGAAUCACUGGGCGUAAAGCGCACGUAGGCGGAUGUGUCAGUCAGGGGUGAAAUCCCGGGGCUCAACCUCGGAACUGCCUUUGAUACAGCACGUCUCGAGUCCGGAAGAGGUGGGUGGAAUUCCUAGUGUAGAGGUGAAAUUCGUAGAUAUUAGGAAGAACACCGGUGGCGAAGGCGGCCCACUGGUCCGGUACUGACGCUGAGGUGCGAAAGCGUGGGGAGCGAACGGG